rnacentral:tRNA from 1 species
CGCACGAAAGGGUUGUGGGCCGGUCCGGCGGCGCUUGCCAGGCGCCGCCGGGCUGCGCAGGGUUCCCACGGGGGUGUUCCGGUCCCCCUUGUGUCG